GACGAACGCUGGCGGCGUGCUUAACACAUGCAAGUCGAACGGAAAGGCCAUGCUUUUGUGGGGUGCUCGAGUGGCGAACGGGUGAGUAAAACGUGAGUAACCUGCCCCUGACUGUGGGAUAACUUCAGGAAACUGGGGCUAAUACCGGAUAGGAGCUCCUGCUGCAUGGUGGGGGUUGGAAAGUUUCGGCGGUUGGGGAUCGACUCGCGGCUUAUCAGCUUGUUAGUGGGGUAGUGGCUUACCAAGGUUUUGACGGGUAGCCGGCCUGAGCGGGUGACCGGCCACAUUAGGACUGAGAGACGCCGCAGACUCCUACGGGAGGCAGCAGUGGGGAAUAUUGCACAAUGGGCGGAAGCCUGAUGCAGCAACGCCGCGUGCGUGAUGACGGCCUUCGGGUUGUAAACCGCUUUCGCCUGUGACGAAGCGUGAGUGACGGUAAUGGGUAAAGAAGCACCGGCUAACUACGUG
rnacentral:rRNA from 1 species